GCGCAAAUGAUAGAAAGAAAUGUACUGUCUGAAUGUUUGUGAUGCAUUCAAAGGAACCACUGAUGCCA